GCCGGCAGCUAGCUCUCUGCAACUCUCACGUAGUCGCCCACUGAAGCUAAGCAGGGCUGCGCCCAGUCACUACCUGGAUGGGAGACCACAUAGGAAAGCUAGGUUGCUGCCGGAA
rnacentral:rRNA from 1 species